rnacentral:misc_RNA from 1 species
GUUCCGUAGGUGAACCUGCGGAAGGAUCAUUAUUGUAUAACCGAGGUGCGAGGGCUGUCGCUGACCCGAAAGGUCGUGCACGCCCGAGGGCCCUCACACACAUCCAUCUCACCCCUAUGUGCACCACCGCGUGGGUCCCCCUUUGGCUUGUUCGGAGGGGGGCUUACGUUUUCACACAAACUUUGUAUGCAGUGUAGAAUGUAUUUUUUGUUUUUGCGAUCACGCAAUCAAUACAACUUUCAACAACGGAUCUCUUGGCUCUC